ACUUUUUUGCUUUUUUCUCUCUCUAACCCCCCCACCCACCCACCUCCGCCAGCAAUAUUCAGUAGGAAAGGGGAGAAAAAGAAACGAGAGCAGGAGGAGGGCAAAGAGAAAUCCUCGUUGCGCCGCAGGCGCUGGUGGGGGUGAAGAAUUGGAGUAAGUGCGUUUGUGGAACGUUCCCUUCAAGCGAGAUCUGGGACUUGCUUUUUGCUUUUUUGGAAAACGUCUCCUCUGGGCUCUUGUGAUUUCAGAGAAGAAGGGGGAGGAUUCGCUGUGAGAAACAAGGUCGUGGUUUGUUUGUGGAUUCUUGCUUUUGUUUUGUUUUUUUCCCGUUCUAGAUACUUUUUCUAGAAGUUUUUCAGUUUUGUGGGGUUCCCCCUCCGCCUCAAGUGGCUCUUCUAUAAACCGAGGACUCUGGAUCAAACUCAAUUUGCUGGGAGGACUCACUCUGCUAUCUUUCGGAAGGAUUCUGACGUGGUGGUUCGCUUCUGGGACGCUUUACUUUUUUCCCCUUUCCCCUGUUCAGAUUGUGGGCCUACAGGGGUUCCCCAAAUGGGCCAGAUCCUUUCCUCUUUCUGUUGCAGAGGGAGAGAUGCAGGAGCAGCCCGCUUUGCUUAUCGUGGAGCCGCAGGCGGGCCUUGCAGCACCCACGCCUGGGUUGCAGAUGUGGGGUGGGAGAGAUCCAGACCCCCGUGUGCCCUGCAGGCUGGGUCAUAGCAGAUCUCUGGCUUUGAAGGGGAGUUUUGUGUGUGUGUGUGUGUGUGUGUGUGUGUGUGUGUGUGUGUUUGGAGGGGGGGUGUUGCAUCUGGAGCAAAUGUAAAAUGAAACCAGGUUUUGGGAAUCCCUGGCUGUCAAAACAGUUUUCUGCCUGGAAAGCUUGUCCUUGAUUAGAAAUGAGAGCAGUUUAAUGCGGAUCGUUCUGUGUGCUCCAGAGUCUCUGCAAAGCCUUUUUUUAAAAAAAGUUGUGGAUUGAAUAUUAUUGCUAGGAAUUAUUAUUUUUUUGGGGGGGUGUUAUUUGUUCGCUUUGUAGCAUUUCAGAACUGCUUCUGUGUUUGUGUGAACAGGCCUCCCUUCUUUUUAACUGUUGAAGGAGACUUUAGACCUGGAAACAUAAGUAGAUUGUAAAUAUAUAUGUAUCUCUGCAUGGCCUGGGAGGGGGCAUGGAGGGGGGAGACGGUUUGCCAAAAACGAUGAGGGUCAAAGGUGUUCUUGUUCUUGUUUUGGAACUUAUGAAGUUGCAGAUGUCUUUCCGACUCUCCCUGUAUCUGGGCCUAGUCAGCAUGCCGUCCUCUCAAGCUGAGUUCUCAAUUAUUUGUUUAUUUAAUGAUAAUAAACCUCUAAUUGUGAUGAGAUUGUGGGAGGAUCUAUAAAUAGCUCAGCGACUCUUUCUCUCUUAAACUCUCCCCCCCCCUUUGACAGAAGGGGGAGGGGAAGAGAAUCAAGGAAGCUAGAUAAACUAUGAAUGGGAAUUUGUUUACAACAAUCUCUCCAAGUUUGAAUCACAGCACAGUCACACUGGCUAAUCAAAUUGCUUAGGGAAACUGAUUAAAUGACAUGCAAAUUGUUUGAAACACUCAGCUGUAACUUCUCUCUCUCUCUCUCUCUCUCUCUCUGUGUGUGUGUGUGUGUGUGUUUAAUUCUAAGUAUAAAUAUUGCAUAGAUCCGCUCAGAUCUUUGAGAAAGGAAUAAAUAUGCGUGAUUUUGGGGUUAUGCACUUUCCAACGAUUGUCUUGCAGAGAAUCCAGACUUUGAAUGCCGUUUAAUAAAAAAUUGCAAUACAGGAACACGGAUUUAUCUCAUUUUGUAGAUUGCAGAGCAAAGGGCACAAUGUUUUGGUGGAUGUCUGCAAGUAGAGCCAUAAAUCAGAGGGAUGAUUUGCCCCUGCAUUUGUUUGCUUGUGUGCAGAUAGAUAACAACUAUAUUUACAAGUUAUUAUUAUCCUGAAAAUAAAAAUCUAUAUUUUCCCGAAAUUUAAAUCUCUCGAGUUUGAGGCAGUAAAUGGGCUGUUUGAACGGUUUGGCAUUUGACCCCCUUAUUGCUUUAGCACAAUCGCAGUUUGAAGGGGUAGACAAAAUUCCUAUUGUGUUUCCUUGGAGUAUGAAAACUCGUUUCAAAUUCAUUAUUGCAAACCAUGCUCCCACCCACUAGAUGACAGGACGUCAGCCAAUACAGAGCCAAAAAGCAUAUAAAUGCAUAUGUGUGUCGUAAAUAAUGGACCAUACUGGCUGAAAUUAUUUACAUGGAUCCAUGCCUGCAGCCCCAAGUAAAAUGGACCUCAAGGCUUUGAGUGCUCCUCCUAUUUGCGCUCCUCCCUGUGUUACAUCCCCUAAUAUUUCCUCCCUAUAGGCUGAUUUUAGGUGGAGAAGAAAUGUAUUAUUCUUCAAAGCCAUUCCCCUUCAGAGGUCAGAGGGUAGUGUUCCUAAAGUAGCCAGAGGGGGCACUGCAGAGCAGGAGGGAAAAGCUGUGAAUCGCCCUAGCAAAUUCCCAGCUGGGUUUCAAGAGCUAUUCUCAAGGGACCAACUUCCUUUCCGCCCCCCCUCCCCAGCCCACCAACCCUGCAAAGCAAGCGUCUUUUAGCAAGUGCACACAAACACACACAUUGCACCUGCUUCCAUGUUUUUAAAGCCUCGGUAGAGAGGCCCCGAGAAAAGGAUUUGGGUAGAAAGCAGCUGUUUGUUUAUUUGCAAUAGAGAAAAAGAAAAGAAAGGGGAGGAAUACCUGAUUUCUGCCAUUUUUCCAUCACAUGCUUUGAAGUUCCAGUGUUUGCAAAAUAUCCCUGUGAGGUGUCAUCUCCAUAAGUAUCUGUCCUGGAUGCUUUAGCUGAGAUUCCUGCAUUGAAGGGGGCUGGACUAGAUGAACUCUUGGGGGUCCCUUCCAACUCUACGGUUCUAUGAUUCCAAGUAUCUGGGAGGGCUCCCACCUCUGUUACACCCCCAUUCCCCACUUUGAAAGUGGAACCUGCCAAUUUUAAUAUGGGAAUCACGAGACUGAAGGCCCUCACACAGUUGACUGCGAGGGGGAAUUGUCUUAUCUAGAUCUGCAGCAUUGAGAGCCCUAAAAAGACACGAUAUAAAUACGAAGCAAAGUGUGUAUGGGGUAAAAAGGUAUUGACAGGAGCCUUGAUCAAUAGGUGGCUAUGGAAUUCAACCACCCACCAUGCAUACUGGAGAUGAGGGAGAGAUUCAGUUCGGUUUUGCAUUUAAAGGCAAACUGACCUAAUUUGCACUUUCUGAAACUAUAAGCAAACCGAAAAGUGGAAGUAUCCUUUGAAAUCUGCACUUUUCCUGAAUUUUGCAAGGCAGUUCUACAGCCCAGUAAUGUGUACAAAAAUGCAUAUCCUGGGGCAAAGUAGGCAUUAAAUGCAUACAUUACUGGGUUUUUUUUCUUUCUUAAAGAAAUCAUAACAAUCUUUUCAAUAGGAGCAAAAGAGAAAAAUCAUGGACAACUCUGGCACAAUGCAAUGCAGCAAAAUUACAUGCAAUAUUAAGUCUGCUAUACACCUGAAAGCCCAAACUAAGUCACUAAUAUUUUCAAAUAAAACUGCCAUGCAGAUAACUGAAUCCCUGGAGGCUCUCUAAACUCCACCAUUAAUAAACUUUAAGAAGGGAUAUUGUUCUUUAUCAAACAAGCUGAGUUCAGUCUCCCCUUGAAUUAAUCAGCUGUGGUUAGAUGUUUCAAGAGAUGUUUAGGUGUUUCGAGAGAGCUAUACCUCAUGCAUUGUUACAACACAUCUCUUCUACAUUAUAUUGUAAAUUACCCUGUGAUCUUCAGAUGAAGGGCGGUAUAGAAAGUUAAUUAAUUAAUUAAGGCAUUUGCCCUUUGCAUUUCCAGUCCUUGCCUAACAGAAGCCAACAGCAGAACUGCCCAAGUCUUAUUUGAUGCUGCAGGAUGUAUAGGAGGGAAAUGUUUUUGCAAAAAAAAAAAAAAGUUUAUUAAGCAGAUCUGCAUGCAAAA